CAGCAGCCCGAGUGGUGAUCGUUUUUAUUGGGCCUAAAGCGUCCGUAGCCGGUCUAGUAAAUCCUUGGAUAAAUCGUGCAGCUUAACUGUACGACUCCCGGGGAGACUGCUAGACUUGGGACUGGGAGAGGUCGGAGGUACUCCAGGGGUAGGGGUGAAAUCCUGUAAUCCUUGGGGGACCACCAGUGGCGAAGGCGUCCGACUAGAACGGGUCCGACGGUAAGGGACGAAGCCCUGGGGCGCGAACCGGAUUAGAGACCCGAGUAGUCC
rnacentral:rRNA from 1 species